GUGGGGAAUAUUGGACAAUGGGCGAAAGCCUGAUCCAGCCAUGCCGCGUGUGUGAAGAAGGUCUUCGGAUUGUAAAGCACUUUAAGUUGGGAGGAAGGGCAGUAAGUUAAUACCUUGCUGUUUUGACGUUACCGACAGAAUAAGCACCGGCUAACUUCGUGCCAGCAGCCGCGGUAAUACGAAGGGUGCAAGCGUUAAUCGGAAUUACUGUGCGUAAAGCGCGCGUAGGUGGUUGUGUAAGUUGGAGGUGAAAUCCCCGGGCUCAACCUGGGAACUGCCUCCAAAACUGCAUGACUAGAGUACGGUAGAGGGUAGUGGAAUUUCCUGUGUAGCGGUGAAAUGCGUAGAUAUAGGAAGGAACACCAGUGGCGAAGGCGACUACCUGGACUGAUACUGACACUGAGGUGCGAAAGCGUGGGGAGCAAACAGGAUUAGAUACCCCGGUAGUCC
rnacentral:rRNA from 1 species